rnacentral:rRNA from 2 species
GUUGUCGCGCCAGCGGCACAGCAGGGUAGCUAAGUGCGGACGGGAUAACCGCUGAAAGCAUCUAAGCGGGAAGCCCCCCUCAAAACUAGGUCUCACUUGAGAACCGUGGUAGACCACCACGUUGAUAGGCUGGGUGUGGAAGCGUGGCAACACGUGAAGCUUACCAGUACUAAUCGUUCGAUCGGCUUGAUUUACU